UACGUAGGGUCCGAGCGUUGCCCGGAAUUAUUGGGCGUAAAGGGCUCGUAGGCGGUCUGUUGCGUCGGGAGUGAAAACUUACAGCUUAACUGUGAGCGUGCUUUCAAUACGGGCAGACUUGAGGCAUUCAGGGGAGAACGGAAUUCCUGGUGUAGCGGUGAAAUGCGCAGAUAUCAGGAGGAACACCGGUGGCGAAGGCGGUUCUCUGGGCAGUAACUGACGCUGAGGAGCGAAAGCGUGGGGAGCGAACAGG
rnacentral:rRNA from 1 species